rnacentral:Y_RNA from 1 species
AGCUGGUGUGAAGGUAGUGAAUUAUCUCCAUUGAUCACAGUUAGUUACAAUUCUACUCUUUCCCCCUUCUCACUGUUGCACUUGACCAGCCCUCC